GCCAAUGAUGUUUUGUCCAAAAUUUUGAGGUGUUGCAAGUCCAAGACCCUGUUUAUCAGGGAGAACCUCCUUGGACUGCUAUAUUCAAAUGACAUUAUUGGACCUUUCUGAGGC